rnacentral:rRNA from 1 species
UACAGGAGGAGCCAAGCGUUGUCCGGAUUGACUGGGCGUAAAGCGCACGCAGGCGGUCGUCGCGCGUGGGGAUGUGAAAGUCUGGCCCGGCUUAACGGCCAGGCGCCAUCCCAUACGGCGCGACUGGGAGUGAUGCAGAGGUCGGUGGAAUUGCCGGUGUAGUGGUGAAAGUGCGUAGAGAUACGGGCAGGAACACCCAGGGGGAAAC